UUUUUUUUUUUUUUUUUGAGUUUCCAUUUUUGAGUUUUAAACUUGUGUAGUUUUUUUAGAUCCUUUUCUGUUGAAGGAGCAAUAAGUAGUUACUUUGAACUUGAAAGGUGCCGGUAAUUCGAAUGGCUGCCUGUUAUAAAUAGUGCAAAAUCGUAUUUGGCCAUACAGUAAAGAUUCAGAUUUUUGCUGAUCCUGAAUCUUUUCAGUGGUGAUGUUGAGAUCAAUAUCUUGAUUUUCACAUGAAAUGUAUAUUAUGGAUAAGUGGCUAUGGUUUGCCUUGUGUCUAGGUUUCCAUAAUGAUUCAUUAUGUUGGGCUGGGAGUUUUUUCAGCUGGACACUGUUUAUUUGCAAAGAUCAUGUAGACUUGCAAUGAGUAACCAAUUGACCUGCAAACCUCUUCGAUUUAUUCUUAGUUCGAAGUCCUUUUUAUGCCUGUUUUGCUCUGUGUUCCCCUGCUCUUGUUUUUUUUUUUUUUUUUUCAAAGUUUGUCCGGGUUUUAUUAUAUUCAAUUUAACGGCUUAGAUUGGUUGAUUUAGUCUGAUGGAUGGCUGCUGCAGGGGUUACCUGAGAUUCUUGAUGGUGUUGCUUUGAAUCCGUAUGUGCAUAGAUACCCACCACCUUUUGAUGAGUUUGAGGUUGACCGGUGCAUUCUUCCCCAAGGAUCAUCUGUGGGUUUUCCAUCAGUCCCUGGUCCUGCAAUUUAUCUUGUCAUUGGGGGACAGGGAACGAUAUCCGAGGAGUUAGUUGCUGAAGGUGAUGUACUGUUUUCACCUGCGAACACAGAGAUCACCGUAACAACUACAUCAGGCUUGAGUUUGUAUAGAGCUGGCGUCAAUAGCAAGUUUUUCUAAGCUGGUGGUUUAUGGAAACAUCUCAUCCAAGAAGCACGGUAACAGUCGCACGCGAUGUGGCAUGUACUGUCUCUCUCUCUCGUAUAAUAUUAGAUAUGUUUGUAUAUGCAGAGCUAAUAAUAUAUAUAUCACUUGAAUUUUCUUUCCUGGGCAUGAAUGGCCAAACGUUUUAAUGUGGUAAAAGCUUGUUCCUGUCGCGUCAACUUUUUGUUGGUUUUUAUUCCUCACUGUCGGUUCUGUGGAGCAACUUUCGGUCCAUAGAGACUGCCAGCAAGCAAGAGAGAGAAUUUGGUACACAUCUAACUUCUUCCCGCGUUGACUACUAGUUAGCAUAGCUAACCGUAUGCUCGUGCGACGCUAACACCUUAUGAGCCAAAGAUUAAAUUGAAUCUGUCAAUACAUUCUUCACUAUCAGCUUGCGCGUGCUUUACUGUUGUCUAGGGAUUACUAAAGAGCAACGCUGAUACAAGCAAAGCUCUGAGUUGUUCAACAUGUUUGUUCUUUAGCCGUGUGUUUGGUAGCUAUUUUCUGUUUGUAGUUGGGAAAGAAUUUACUACUACAUUUUUUUUUUUUUUUGCGCCCAGCAGAAAGGGCGAAAUCAACACAUGUACAAGUUUCAAUGCCAAUGCUACAAAUCAUUUAUGAAUCAAAUGAUAAAUAAGUGGAUAUAGAGCACUAUUCUCCUGACAUAUAUAUAUAUAUAUUGACUGAGAAGUAAAAUUAACUAGCACUAAAGGAAAAGGUAAUUUUCUAUAGCUGGUUUGCCAUGUCGUUGUCCCAUGUUGAACUGUUUCAGUUUUUUUUUUUUUACCAGGGGAUAGCCACGCAAUUGUUUAAUAAUCAGGCAGAUACAUUAAAGAUGCGUUGGCGAAGCUAAUGGUUGUUUUUCAUCAUUUCAUUUCUGAAGCCCCUUCUUGGACUUGGGUGUGUAAGAGACUCGAACCAAUAACGUUUUCUUUGGUAUCAAGAAUCAAACAGAUGUGCUCUUUUAUUUUGUACAAUGAAAUGCAAUCUGUAAUUGAUAGCUUAGUAUUUGAUGACUUGAAAGGGCCUUGUUUCCCAUGAUCUGCAACCUCUGGUUAACUUUUAAUUAAUGGUAUUACUUCUUUUAUUAAGAAAAAUAAAAAAUAAAAAAAAAGAGGGAGAGAAAUAUGAAGAAGAGAAGCCUAGUCAUGUGUCCGCAUGAAUUUCCUUUUAUCUCCGCCCAGGCACAUACACGUCCAAGCAAAUUUACACAGCAAUAGGCAGGCUUUUUUCUGUAUUAGCCACCUCUUUAUCAGAUCCACUGAGCCACAGCAGGAGUGCUUCAGCACCUUUCUCCCACGAGCAAUCCAACAUCAUGUCAUGGGCUACUCCUUCGAGGCAGAUAGGUGACACCCCAUAAAACCGCCCUGUUUCAUUCAGUCCCUCCAUAUCCUACAAAAUUUUAAUUGGUCUUAGAUGCACUUCAAAUUUUCUGCAUACUACUCCUUAAGAGCGAUCCCAGUAUAAUAUGGAAAAUGUUGAAAGCAAUAGAAAUCACUCCACUAUGAGUAAUAAAUUCUGCAUUUAAUCGGAAUAUCUAUUGAAGCUGAAUUUACCACUAUGAAGUCAUCAUUUGCGCCCAGCACCAAAAUUUUUGCACAAGAAUUGUUCACCGAAGGAACAGGAAGUGAGGCAUUUAGCUUUCUUAGGUCAAACAACGGCAUCCUCGAACUUUCUGUCAUCAACUUUUGGUAACUGAAGAGAAAAAAAAAUUUUUAUUGCAAAGCUUAUUCAGUGCAGAAAAAUAGCAGAAGGGAGUUCCAAUGAAAGAAACCAAACAAUCUUCUAGACCAAUAUUUUGGCUUAAUAACUGUACACAGAGUUUAAGCUACAUCAAUUUAGGCAAUACACCUAGUUUUCUAACCUGCUGAUUUUACAUCAACACAAAUUUAUUAAUUGCAACAUUUGGUAAUGUUACAUUAAUUUCAACUAAUGGCAGCUGUUAGUUUCUGAAGUACACACCGUAAAACCAGCUGAUCCUCCAAGGAAACAGAGAAAAACGUUUCCUUACAAAGAGGCAGGGAAGUUUGAAAAGCUUUGGCUGCCAAGCUGAGAGUUACCUGUAAAAAUUUUUAAGGACACUGAAGGUUAAAGAAAAAUUGUUACCAAAAGAAGAAGGUGACACAGAAGUUUGCCAAGCAUUGACAAAGCAAGUUUUAUGCAAUUGUGAUUGAAUGGUCUCGUAGGCAGACAAACUAUGAAGUUUCUCAAACUAAGUAAUGCUUUCAAAGAAGAAAAAUUAGAAUUAAGAGUAUAGUAGUUCACAAAUGAUCUGUCCAAAUCUUAAAAAUAACAGUCUGAAAAGUAGAAAUAAAUGAGGAAGUAAAAGAAUGACAUUAUUAAGACGCUCUUUUAAGGAUGCAAUAGAAGCAGUGUCAAUAUAUUCACAGCAAGAAACAGAGACCUUAAAUGCAGCAAUAGGUUUGGAGAAGAGAUAUCGCCAUACUGCUUGGCUGGAUAAAGUGAACGAAAUAUGUUAGUCUGCCAUAAGUAAUGGGAAAGAUGAGGUUGUUGCACAGGCAAUCACCUAUUACCAGAAGGAGGUACGGAGCAAACCAGCGCUGCACCAGCAAGAUAGGAGUGCAACCUUCCACUCUCUAGACACAAAAGCCAAGAAAAGAAACAGCCAAAAGUGAUCACAAGUAACUUAUCUGAUAAAAGAAUUUGUUACCAAUUACAGUAAAUAAAAAAUUAUGUUAAUCAUGCUUGUGAUUUAAAAAGUCACAAAAGCUACUACAAGUUUGCUUUUUCCAGAAGAAGGAUGGAGCAAUCACCCUGAAGGAAAGUACUUUGGCAUAUAACCUAUGUAAAUUUCACGCAUCCCUGACUAGAUAUCAGAUUUAUGACAGUUCAUCCUUGAGGCAACCCUUGUCACAGUUAUUUGAACCUUAUGGUUCAGGAAACAAUAUAUUUCCUUUCUCCAAAAUAAACAAGGUUAGCCACUCAAAGGCGAUCUAUUUGCUAUAUGUCCUUUUGUUCUUAGCAUUGGAUAGCUUAGUUAUCAAGCUUGAAAUUUGAGGGUGAUAAGCAUCUGACAUUGGAGUUAAAAUAUGUUUGUAUUUCAGUCUAAUAUCCAGUAGCCAUAGUAGAUUCACUCUGCCUUCCUAAACAUGUUUAUAUCUCCAAAAUUUUAAAAUUACCUUGAAUUUUGUUGGAUCUCAUAUUAGCAACGUAAUAUUGCACGAUCAGUCCCCCAAAUGAAUGUCCUAUUAAGACAGGGCGCAGUUUGAGUUCUUUCUGGAUGAAGUCAGCAACAUUACCUGCAUGUGUCUACUGCAGAAUUAAACUGGUUUAGUGGGAGAAAUAAGAUAAACGCAGGAAGCACUUAAGGCUUAAUCUCUGAGAAAGGUACUCUCUCUAUAUCAGUUUCUCUUGUUCAUUUUUUCCCUUAUCCUAUUCCCACUGCUCUAUAAGUACUUAGAAAGGAUUGGCAAUUUGAGCUACAAUACCUGGAGAGUACCAGCAACAGGACCAGCAGGAUCAUCGCUUUCUCCCUGACACAAUAGUGAGAAAUUGAAUCAGCAUCUGAUAUCAUAUUUACGUGUAUUAUAAAGCCCCAAGACAAGGUACAACUGUUGGGAAGGGGGAAUAAUCAAUAGAACCCGGCUGGAUCCGGGCUGGGAUAAUGGUGUCCAUUCUUAACCAGCUCCGAAAGGGUUCCUUCCAAAAGGUUUUGAAGCUUUUACUCCAAUUUCAAGAUAUUCCAAAUGGGAUGUCUUUUGAGCAAGACAAAGAUCACUGAUAAGCAAUAGCAGAAACGGAAAAGGCACAUUCUUUACACUAUCAUAUCAUCGAGUACACUAGAAGGCUUGUAGAAAAUCAAGCUUACAUGUUUCCUGAUGCUGCAUUAGCACUUAUACAUGGUUUUGGUUAAGAGGGGAGAAGGGAUGAGGAGCCUGAUGCAAGAAGGGGCCAUGCUCAACUGAGACUAAUGAUGGUUAGCAAUUUAUCAAUAUAGACCAAAUGUUUUUCUUCUCAGUUUUCUUUAAACUUAUGUACCUUCUCAUUUCUUGAGAUAAGAAUUGCUCAAAGCCAUGUAAAUCAAGAUUAAUCCACAUUCUUGGAUUGGACUUUCCGUGAAUUAAUCUGAAGCAAAUAUUUUUUUGGCUAUCGAUUACUCAAAAAUAAUAGUAUAAAAAGAAAUUAGGAAGCUAUAUUUUGUCAGAGAAAUUUAGAUUGGCAGUCUAGGCGUUAAGGAACAUAAAUCCAAUCAUCCACAUAUCUAAACCACGGAAAUUUAUAUCAGUAAUUCAUAACUUUGAUGUAUCUUUCUUAAUUAACAUUCUCGAUAAUAUUUCAUCAAAGCUGAGUUUCAAGAGCUCUACACAGCCACAACUAACACAAGAGUACCUGACCCAAUAAGCUGAGAGCAUAGCAAUCAUAUCCAUUUUGGGAAAAAUACGGCAGCCAAUGCUCAGCCCAGCACCAAGCUGCAUGAAAGCUCCCAUGAACGAACACUAAUGGUGGGAUUUGAGAUUCCUCUUGCCUCUCGUCUGAGCUUUUGUGCUUUAGGCCCUCUUGGAAGAUAACCUCCAUGUUCAACCCAGAGGGAAGCUUGUGGAAACGACGUGACUGCCCUUGUUUCAGUUCAUAUGGAACCCGCAUUUUGUAUUCUUGAUUGAGCGCAGCUCUUGGCAUUAUGGCGGUUCUGCUCUUUCUCGGGAUCAUGCUCGUAGUCAAACUCAGAGUAGCCAUUGCUGGGAUUUGGGAGACAAAGCAAAGCUAACCUACGGUUUCAGCAGCACUGUUUCACCAAUCCCCGGCUUGAAUUUUAUCGCCAAGGAGUUGUCCUUUUGACUUUUUAACCCCUACUAGUUAAUGAAUUUGUAAUUUCGGUCAUUAAACUUUUACAUUCAUGCCAUUGUAGCCUCAACGUUUUGGAUCUUGGAAUUAGAAGUAUUUUUUUCUUUUUCUCUUUCCGACAGCCGUAAUUACUAACUUACAAUUUUCCCUUUUGCCUAUCACAUCCUCGGGACAAAUUUACUGCAACGGUGGAAUAAGUAUUUUUUUACCGUUAAAUCAUAAUAUUUGUAUAACCUAAUAUAUCAUAUUCUAAAGAAGAGGAAUCGAUGACCAGCCUUUGAGUUGGUAGCUACCACCAAUGCAUUAAAGAUUGGUGGGUUGAGAAGCCACAUUAAAGUGGCACUGCUUAAAAAAUUUAGGUUGAUGCGUAGUAUAUCCAUCUGGUCCGUUGGUGAUUCAGUUCUCUUCAAAUUAUCUUUGGAUUGCUUCGGGUCUUCCCCUUCCCCCUAGUAUAGGAUAAUCUAUCAUAUUGACCAAAGAAAAAAAAUAGAGGGAGAGGGGUCCAAAGAGAAUGUCUAAUCUAUUCUAUUCUAUUUGUAUAACCUUAUGGUUGCCAACAAAAAAAGGGUCUCUUAAAUCGUAAUAAUUUUAUUAUUUAAAAUAUAAAGCACAAUCAUCGUUGAGAAAUAUAAACCGAGGGAAUAGUUUCCUGCAAUAACCACAGUAUCUUUCUAGUUCCUAGAUUCCAAAUGGUACAUAGACUUGAGCAAUUUUGAUUACUCGUCAGCAAAACCAAGGUGGAUGGGUGGCUUCUAAAUCUUGAUCAGGUGCAGAAUUAUCGCUUUUGAUUGUUCUUUUUAGAAGUUAUUUUUAAUAGAAUAUAUAUUGUAACAAUUGAAUAUAUAUGAGUUAAAAUAGUGAUAAGGAAAUAUGUUCAUAGAAAGUGAAAUUUUUUUUGUAAAAAAUAGCAAUUCCAACAAGGUCGGACACUAUUCUGUUUGAAAAAAAAAAGAAACCUAUAACCAGAUGUUAUUUUGUUUGGAAAAAAAAAACUACAAGUGAAUAUCUCUCUAUAUUACUCAAAAAAAAAAAAGAAUAUCUAUCUAAAUAAUAAAGCAUGAGUAGGGAUUUUGUGUUAACGAAAAAUGCCAUUAUUUGUUAUUCCAAAAAUGUCAUUUCAACAUUUACCAUUAUCCACUCACGGUCUCAUAUGAAAAAUCUCCCAUUCCUAUGUAAUUACCACUACGCAACUAUCACUACACUUAACUAAUCUACCAAUGAAAAUUGCAUCACCGUAAUCUCUCAUUCCUACAUAACUAUCACUACACUUACUAAUUUAGCAAUGAACAUUGUAUCACCAUCCAAAAAUCUCUCUAAUUAGUUUUUUAUUCUAUAUAUAUUUUUUAUUACUUUUUUUUUUUCAAAAUAUGCAUACGUAUAGCGUGUUUUCUUAUCCACUAGUUUAUUUAUACUUUCAGUUUAAAGAUUGAGGCCCGACAAAGAUCCAAAUUCUAAAUCAAUUGAAGCCCAAACAAACAAACGGACCAACUACCCCACAAUCAGCCCAUUCGGCCCUGUCAUUUAACCGCAGCUCCGCUCGACCAAGGAAUCAACUUCUGGUAAAAAUUUUCCCGGACUAAAGCGACGUCGACGACGACGACAAAUUCAUCGGCGAUUGAAGCAAUUUCUUGAUUCCAGAUGCUUUAGGAGUGCUGAAGCAAUUAACAAUCCAUUUCUGAGCAAAUUCUUUCAGCAGAUAAAAAGAAAAUUUUGAAAAGAUGAUGUCCCCUAGGCAAAAUCUAGACGAUCGAGGAGGAGGAGCAAGUUCUUUCCAAUCAGCUAACUUUAGGUAAUGCUAAAACUUCUACUUGUUCUUGUUUGUUCAAUUUUUUUUUCUCUUCAAAAAUGAAUCAUUGAAGCCUCAUUUUUAAUUCUACGUUUGAUUCACUAGUAUGCUUAAUUAUUAGCAUCUGUUGCUGUUGGUAAGUACAUGUAUCUGCAUUUUUUGCUACUCGAAUUUGCUGGAUGGAUAUGUUUAAGCAAAUAAAUUCCUCUGUUAGGAUUUGAGUUAAUUACGUUUAUAAAGUAUUCUAAACUUGAAGUUUUCAGUUGAUUCAGUAAUUCUACUGCUCACUGUAUCUUUAAUUUCACUGCAUUGCCUUGUUUAAUUUGAUAGCAUUUCUUUGUCUUUUAACUUUACGCUUUUUUUAGGUUCGUUUGCUCUAUCGAUCUUUUUACUUGUCUAUUUUCAAGAGUUUCAUUGUUGGAAAUUUUUUAAGAAUUUGGUAGGCUUUCUUGAAUUAGCAGCUUUAAUGAUUCUACUGAUGUAAUAGUUGUUUCAAAUGUGGAAAACGCUUCAAAAUGGUGAUAAGAGGCUUUCUUUAAUAUCAACUUAGACAAGCCUACUAAUUGUGUUGUUCAAUUGUAGGCGAACUCCCUUGCAGAUAAUCCAUGUUUUUGGCAACUUCAUGAGGAUAUGGUCCGUUUACACUAUGUAUCGCUACUUGUCUCAAACAGGAGCGUCAGUUGUUCUUUUUAUUUUCAGCUGUCUUGUUCCAGCAUCAAUCCUGUUUUUAGUUUUGCAAAAGCCUUGGAAAGGCAGGUCACUCUCUAGCACGCAGGUCUUCUCAAAAUACUCCACUUAUGAAUAAUUAGACACAGCUAGGAAAUCUUCAAACGUUUGUGGCUUAACAAUGACAUUUAUUUUCUGGCAUUGCUCAUUGUUUCUACAGGUUGUACCUUCUGUUAUAAAUGGUGGUAUAACAGCUCUGUAUUUCAUACUGUGGGGAAAAGGUGUUAAAUCUUGCGGUCCUCUUAGGUAAGUUUUUCAAUCUGUUCUAGUGAUCCUCUCUUGUAAUUUUUUGAAUGUGCUUUGGUUUGUUUAUUGAUGACAAUUCGCAAUAUGUGGAUAAGUGAUAAUUAAAUUUUUUAAAAAUAAAAUGAUGCAUAGAUGAACAUUUACAUCACUUAGAGUGAUAGUGUGUGUAAUCUCCUUUGGUGUUUUCUAAGAGCUUGGUUGCCAAGGGCUAAUCCCUAUGUUGGAGAGAGAGAGAGAGAGAGAGCCAUGACUUACUUGGUCCUUGAUCUCUCUUUGAUGUUCUUUUCUGAAAUUCCUCCCAAAGCAGAAAUAGGAUAUUCGGAUAAGUUCUUUGGUUUCAUUUCGUGUCUUUGAAUUCCAGAAGUUUAGUGAUCUUCAAUGUGGCCAGUCUUGCAAUUAUUCUUGUUUGUGUAAUAUGAACAAUUCUCUCACUCAGGGCAAUAUUAGCUGAAUAUUCUGGAGCUGUUCUUGGAGUAUUAUCUGGUGUACUAUAUGGAAGUAGAGGCCAUGUUUGGAAGAAGGUAGACAACUUUCUAUUCCUUUUUGAUUCAAAAGCUUGUUCAAAAAGCUGUCAAGUUGAUUAUGUGCAAGAUAUGAUUCUCUUAUUUUAGGUUUCAGAACAAGAACUUGGCAUGACAGGCUGGUGAUGUAUCUUGUUUAGCUGGAAUACAUCUGGAGUCUUCUUUGAAAUUUAUUAUACAUGUCCUUGCUUUCUUCUUACUAGGAGAAAUGCAAGUCUGUGUGUCGGCUGGAGUUGUAGUGUGGUUGCACUUCCAAGUCAGUUAGUGGUCUUCUAAUUUGAGCUCAGAAUUAUGUGCACUUCAAGGAAUAAAUAAUGCUGUCGCUUAUGUUCUCAUCUGACUUCGAUCAAUCCAGUUAAAAUCCAUAUAUACUAUUCAUCCUUUUUGCUUAUAGGAUUUGUGUUUCCUUAUAUCUAUCAGGUAGGUGGACUUGUUGCAAUGAUGGCAUCAUUUUACUUCUUGUCUCAAGGAUGGGCCAUGGCCACAUAUUCUCCCUUUAAUAUCCUUUCAUUUUAGAUCUAUAUUUCACAUUUAUUGGGAAUCUGAGUGCUAUUAGAAUUUUCUUGCAUAUUGAUUUUUGACAAACAGAUUAUCUUGUUCACAAUUGUCAGCUUAACCAUAAUAUACCAUUUAGUGAUAGUCCUGAUGUUGAGGUUAGGACAGAUCAAGUUGUGGGAAUGAAGAAAAUGCUAGUUCCCAUUGUUGCUGGUGUCUUAUCAGCACUCAGAAGGGUGAUUGCAAGACGUGUCUCACUCAAAGUAUUGACUACUUCACCUUAUCAUUCUUUGUGUAUUUUCUUGAUCAAAAUAUAACUAUUAGGUUUUGGGUAAGAGUUUGUAAGACCUGACUCUAUUUGUUUUAUGGUUGCAGAAUCAACUUAAGAGGCGGCUUCAUGCAAUAACUAUCACUUCUGCAACUUGUUUUCUGUUCCCUGUGGCUAUGUGGGACAUGAUUAUAGUGAGUUUGAUUCUAUGGCUUCUGUGGCAUUUUGAACAAGCCCUGGAUGCCCUGUAUCAAUAUUUUCAGGGUGAUUUAGAUCUGGUAAAUGCUCAUAAUCUGUUUCCUCCUCCUCCUUUCCUCAGGGAACAACCAGCGUAGAAUUGCCAUUUUCUGCAUGGGCAUUUUCAAGCACCAUCUUCUUUGGUGUUAUGUUGAUCUUCUAUGUUGACAGUAUCGCAGAGGAGAGGUACCCUAUUGUUUAUUCCGUUCAUUGCCCUUUGCUUUGCUAGUUGAAUUUUAGUCUAUACUCAGUGCAUCAGCACCAGUUCACUGGGUGAUUCACGAUUCCAAAUGGAUGCUUCCUGUUGAGCUUCAAACUUUAGAAUGUAGUUUAAAUCCUUAGCUUUAAACUUUAGUUCUAUUUACCUUCACAAACACUUAGUCGUACUGUUUAAAAUCAGAGGAGAUAGAUGACAUGUCAGAGUAUUGACCUUUACUUAACGGGAUAAUUGCAUGCUCCCCUCCCCCCCUUUUGUACUGGUUAAUUCAUCAACCAAUUGGUGUUUCUUUUGAUUUUUAGAACUUUCUCAACUAACAUUUGCUGUAGCCUAUAUGGUCACGCUUUUACAUGGUAUGCCAUUCAAUUUCAGAUAGAUUGCUCCUAUUUUAUUGAAUGUUAACCUUCAUUUUACUAGAAAUAUGUUUAAGCACUUAGUAUGCUAUAUAACUUAAAUAUAUUGUUCUUGCCUUGUGGAGUUCUUGUUUGUGCAUUUUUUCGCAUUUAAAAUUGAGUGUUUAAUAAGGGACACUAGAAAUAACUCCUCUUUUCCUGCCCUCUAAUGUUUGCUCCAAAGAAAGAGGCAGGUUGUUGCGAUGUUGUAUAUUUCCAAUUUUCGGGGUUUACAAGAGUUGAUGUCUUGAGUUUGGGUUGUAUUGCUUUACAUUUAGGGACACUAGAAAUAACCCCUCUUUUCCUGCCCUUUAAUGUUUGCUCCAAAGAAAGAGGCAGGUUGUUGCUAUGUUGUAUAAUUCCAAUUUUCGGGGUUUACAAGAGUUGAUGUCUUGAGUUUGGGUUGUAUUGCUUUACAUUUAGCUACAAGGUCUUGCGUUUCCCUAAUGAAGUCUUGUUUGUGGCUCCUAACUUGUCAGUCUUUCCUAUCUGUUUGUAGAUUACAUAUGGUUUUCUCUUCUCCGAGACAUUUGAUGGUCGCAGGAAUAUGCAUCAUCGUCAUGGAAAUUGUGUACAAAAUGGACUUCUCGCUCCUGGGCUUUCUGAUUUGUGUUGCAAUUUUGGGCUUUGGUAUGAAACGAAAAGCUGUCUUCAUUUUGAUUAUGGUUAUCAGAAGAAUGAGCAAUAUACAUUAUCAAUUUUUGUGUAGUUGUGCUGGCUAACAAAAUUUUCCAAAGUUGUGCUGAUAGUUUAUUUUAUCUUAUUUUUUGAAGCUGAGAAUCUAAUGUUCUUUAGUGGGUUAGGGUCUUGGUUUUUGCUAGGUUAGAUUCUCGCAGGCUGCAUUCUCCUUUUUCAUCACUUCGUUCCACCCUUCCCUUCUUCGAUAAAUUCAAAGCAAUGUUAAAUCAUUUUGGAAGCUCACAAUAGCUAUUGUCCCACAAUUAUUUAAUGGAAUUUAAAUGAUUUUUGCCUAAGGUAAAGGUCUGAGAUUAAACAGAAGCCUGGGGACGCCAACUCUUGAGUGAAUUGUCUAUGAAAAUGAAAAACAUUCAUAUAUAUUAUAAAAGAUACCAAGCUGACUUAGCAUCUGAUAUGGUACAAUUGUUAACUGAUUAACAGGAAUUUAGUUGUUUAUAUUUUAGUUCCCGUCUUUUCAAUUACCAGUCAUUAGCAUUAACCCGUAGCAUAGAGUAAAGAUAUUUAUUUGGUAAAUGUAUUCUUGCUUCAAGCGUGUAUUUUGAUAAAGGGCCAGCAUAUUGAGUAGUGGUUUUAGGUGCAUUAAUAAUACAGUAUGAAAUAAAUCUGUUCUGUUCCUUUCGACACAAGUCUUUUCAUUGUUUCAUGUGCCAAUACUUAUGAUUGGGUACAAUUAUCAUUCAACAUCUGCGCAUUUAAAUUGCCUCUGUAUUUAACUUCUAGUUUCUUCAAUUCUGUUAGGAAUAUAUGAAGCAACCUCAUUAGACCGAUUUCGAAAAGAUGCUCAACGGAAAUCAGAUGCAUCAAAUGGAAUUCUUGAGGAUCGAAUCGAGAUGUCUCCUCUUCCAACGUGACGUGACUAGGUAGCUCAAGCUUGUGCAUGUAAGACGCAGUAAGCUUCAUUCAUUGUUUCAUUAUUGCUUUGACUUUGAGUUUCAUUAAGAGAUUUGAAGCAGAGGUGGAGGGCUAAUAAGGAUUUUGAAUAAUCUGUGCUUCAUGGAAUAACUAACUGAGGAUUCAUGAUAAUUCCUAUGGAAGUGUGUUGUGCUUAAAUGAAUCAAGAUUGAAUGUUAAUAUUAUAUAGCUUUAGACGUUCAAGACCAAUUUCAUUGGAAGUUAAUUAGGAAUAUUAGAUCUUUCACUGGAUUAGGAGAACGGAAAUGUCACCAAUGAAAACGUACGUCUGUUUAACAGAAAAGUAUGGGACAGGAUGAGUACAACUAAAAACUUUAGGUCUCAUAGUCUUCUGUUAGGUACGAUCAUGGCUUAGACUGCUGACGUUUCCUCAUUUUCUGUUGCAGAUGCAAUCUAGGAUUAUUCUUUAAAAAGCAAUGGGACUGGUGCAGAAGCGUUGAUCUCCGCGUCCACAUGGGUGACUAAAUAUGCCGCAGGAUAUUACAAGUAUUGCACUGCGAGCAGUGAGAAGCGCCACAAGUGUUCUAAUGUUGGGAGUGACGUAAAACCCUGCUCUCAUUGCAGACAAGUCAAGAAAACUGGAAAUACAUGCUGUGGUUGCUGUAUUUCUUGUGUCGCCCCAACCAUUUUUAUUUAGCCAACACUGGGACAGGUUGGAAGUGAGGAACCAUUGUACAAUAUAUACAUUUAGUUUCCUCGUUUUGCUAUUCUCUCAUCCUCCUCUCCCCCCCCCAACCCAACACAAAAACACACACACACGCACACAACCCCUUCCUGUUGCCAACCAAAACUUUUCUGUUGAAUUUCCCCAGUGUUUAAACAUUGAAUGUCUUGUCCUAUCGCUCUAUUUUUCCUAUUCUCCAUCUGCCGGUUAGACAAUUUCAAUGCAUACCACGUUCAGAGCUUUCUUUCUACUUUUUAAGUUGGCCUUAAAACUUGUAUGAAACUUUGUUUAAACGUUACAGCAACAGUCUCCCGCCAACAGCCUCUUGGGUUGUUGGUAUUACCAAGACUUAAAUGUCUUGGUGGGGGUGGGAGGUCAAGGGUUCAAUCCUUGACCUCUCACCUUGUCACUUAAUUGUGGCUUCCUCAAAUUUCAUCGGCUCUCGCUCUCUUUAUAUUAGGUUAGAAUGGAUUAUAUAAAUGUUAUCCUGUCGCUUUGCGGCAUAGGCCCAAAGAAUUCUUGGCCCGCUACUCUAGUUGUAUGUGACUGGAAGCCUGCAACAUGUAAGGACGUUCGAGGAACAGAUGCAGUCCACUUUCGCAAAAUCACGGCAAUAUUUAUGAGGCCUGUUAUGGAUCCUUCAUUAAAGAUCUCGUCGUCGAGUUUUUCGUUCCGGUAAAUAUAAUUCCGACUAUGGGAAAAUUGUCCGACUGGUCUGAUGCGAGGGAACUUGUGCCUUUUUCAACUAAUGCAGGCUUGGCGCAGAGCUUGCCAGUGUAAAGACGGAGAUGGCUAGUCGAUUUACUACUUCCGUUUACGCUAUUGGUGUUCGAUAGAAAGUCUCAGAGAAAUUUCCCUUCCCCUUCAAAUGUUCGGCAAAAUCAAGCAACAGCUAAACUUCCGCCACCAAACUCUGAUCUCCCCAUAGCUCUGAAAUCUGCAACCACUAGGCACCCGCAUCCAUGGUGCUGCCUCUUUCUUCGUCUCAUCCUCCGCACCUCCUGAAACCCACAAGAAAAAUCAUCUCUUUUUCACGCACUCACAGCAACAACAGCUUCGGUAGAUCACCAUCCCACAGCUGCAAUGGACUAACGUUUGUUCGCAAUAAGAAACCUCUGAGUGAUCUCAAUGCCUGGGGAAUUGGAGGACCCUGCAAUUAUUUCGUCCAAGUCUUUGAUCAAUCUCAGCUUGCUACUGCCAUAAGGUGCCGCUGUCUUUCAGACUUAAUCCUCUUUGCGUCCUGCUUCUGUGAGCAUAAUGUGAAAUUUAUUGCAAUGCAGGUAUUGUAGGGAGUAUUCCUUGAGGUUUAUGAUCAUCGGCAAAGGCUCAAAUUGUCUCUUUGAUAACAUGGGUUAUGAUGGUUGUGUUAUCCUCAACUGGAUUGAUUUCUUGGAAAAGAUUGGAUCGGUUGGCUACAGAGUUGGAAGUGGCUAUCCAUUUAAUCGGUUAGGGGUGCAAUCUGCAACUGAAGGAUUAUCAGGGCUGGAGUUUGCUAGUGGAAUCCCCGGAACUGUGGGUGGUGCUGUGGCUUUGAUUUUACUACGAUGAAGAAUUCAAUUGCACCAAUAUAACAUAUUGUCUAAACUGGUAACGGUAUAGUUCAACAAAGAAGUCCAAGACUAGGCGAGUUGGCGAAAUGUUCUAGCAGACCAUUAUUUUUUUCGGUUUUGAAUGAUUAAUUUCAUUUUUUUUUUCUGGAAAUGCUAACUGAUGGAUUUACAUGUGUUUCUUAAUGAAGGAAAUUGCUGAUGCAAUUGAUACUGUGGAAAUUAUAACAUCUGAUGGCGAAUAUCAGAUUCUCCACCAGAGAUGAGCUCACGUUUGGGUAUCGAUCAUCCAUAUUUCAAGACAUGAAGAACUUAGCUGCCAUUGUUGCAGUCACUUUUCGAUUGAAUAACUUGGAAUCAGCGAGAGAUAAGCAGCAAGAAUAUUUGGAAAGGUAAUAUUAAAGAACGUAAUUAAGAGUAUUGGAAAGGUAAUAAGAAAGUAGGUAAUCAAUGGUCAUGCAAAUGGGGCUUUUGAGGAGUCAAUGAAUCCAACGAGCUCUGUGUUUUCUCUGCAGAAGGAAACUGACUCAACCACUGGGGAAGCGAACUGCUGGUUCAGUGUUUCGAAACCCAUCUCUUUGAGGUAUCUGAGCAGCAGAGUUGAUUGAGAGAUCUGGACUUAAAGGAUUCAAACUAGGAAAGGCUGUGGUCUCCAAUAAGCAUGCAAUUUUCUUCAUAAAUUGUGGUGGUGCAAGUUCUCAAGACAUGCUCGAGCUUAUUGGCUUGGUUAAGCAGACUGUCUAUCAGAAGUUUGGAGUAAAACUGAAGGAAGAAAUUUUGAAUGUUCACCCAUAUAUCGAAAAUUCUAUUCCAAAUGUGUGUAAUGACAGUAUCAAGUAACCAGGAAAAUGAAACUACUUUUCCUAAUGGACAAAAAAUAAUCAUAUUAAUAAUUUCUGCAUAGUUUCUCAUGAUUUUUCACAUUGAACGCCUUUAUGCUAUUGAUAUAAUUAUUACGAAUGUUGGAUCAUCUUCAAAGAAGGAACCAGAAUGAUCCGUUCAUUGCUAAUGAAUUUGCUGCUUGACCCUGCUGGUCAGAGCUUUGGUGAUGAAGUGAGCAAGAACUCCUACUGGACAAAAUAACAAGCACAGAGAAACUGAAUGCCGAGUUUCAACAUUGUCCUGCAGCCCAUCAUGAAAAACCUGCCUGCUUGCAUGGAAAUCGCAAGAGCAUUAUUAAGUGUUCCAAUAACUAAAGACCAAAUCCCCCCCCCUCUCCCCCCCACAACCCAAAAAACUCCCAAUGGGGGUCCCAGGAUCCCUCAAACCCCAAAGAAAAUUUACAUAGACAGACCUUGCAGCAAAAAGAUCCACCGCCAGCAAGUGAAUCCAUGCAGAAGCAAGUGUCAUCUCACUGGAGAACAACUUUGCUAUAGCAGACAGCUGAGGGAAGCAGCCGAGUUGACAAUGUUAAUCUCUAACCAUGAUGAAACAUAAAUUCAAAUGCGUGCAUUUGUGAACAUACCUCCGGCAGCCAGUUUUUACUAGAAAACAUGAGACGCAAUGUAUCUGGUGUCCAGGAGAGAUAUAGAAGAUAUGCAUAUAACAGUCCCAGCAUAAUAUAAGGUAUGCUGCUUUCCAUUAACUUCUUGGUCUGCAUUUGAUGUAAUACAACUAGUUACAACAUCGAAUCUUAUUUGAAGUCUCAAAACCCAAAGUGAACAAUUAUCAGGAUCAGUUGCUAAUCAUUGAAACAAAAUCACCUCGAUGGAGCACUCAACAAACUGAAAUAGAAAUUCAAUUGAAAGGUGGAAGAACUUGAAACAGUGCAGCAUCACUUGAGAAAAUAAAAAGUUGCUUUUUUGGUAUAGUUCCAAGAUGUCCUUACUUACCAAUUCAGCUUUAGGUGCUGCAACCAUGAGUGUAUAAAAUGGAAGAACUGCUACAGUUCCAAAUGUAAAAACACUAGCUGCAAGUUGAGAGCUCGGCAAACCUGCAUAGCCAAAUAAGAGAAUUUUUAAUGCUAGAAGUGUAACAUUCACAAUCUUGUUUGCCUUGCAAGCUUCUUUCCACAUCAAACAAGCUGCUAGCAUGAAAUCAGAGUAUUAUAGAGAAGUGCAAUAGUUUCAGUCACUAAAAUCAAAGAAUAUCUAAGGCUAGAAAGGCAUUUUAAAUUAUAAAUCAUAAUGCAUCAAGCACAAGGUAUGGCCUCUAUAUAUGUAAUUUUGUCUAGCAUGGAAAGAAAAACUUCUACAAUCCGAAAAGACCAUAACAUGUUUCUAAGACUACUUUCUUUAGUCUUUUUACCACCUAAGUGAUUUAAGAUUCCUGUCUAUUCACAGAUGCAAAGCAUCUGUACUCUGUAAUGCUUGUCAGUUGCGAGCCAGCUAUGCAGCAAAAAUAAACUGCUAACCGAUGAUAGACUUCUACCCGCCCUAUUAAACAGAAUGACCCUAAAUAAUCUAAAUGUGCUCAAAGACAGAAGGAAAUGGUAAGUCACGUAUAAAGAUUACAUGAAGCAUAGACUCUGCAAUCAACAGCUCGUCCAAGAUUUGGGUGAAUGCUUGCUAUUGGUCUUCUGGGAAAGCUCCAUUCAGCACUUAGCUUGGUUCCCAAUUUUUCCGUUUGUCCAACAAAGAGCUGUUUAUUCACACUUCUGAAAGCAAAUAUGGAUCUCUUGUUCAUCCUCAUGCAUUCCGAAAAUCUGUAACACAACCCUGUGCGCUUAACCUACAAGCAAUAGGCACCAAUGUUGACUACCGUUAAAAUUCAAACCCUCACAACGACAUGAUUUAUUGAACUGUUUUGGCAAAUUUGGGAUUUCUAGGAAUUUGCUUCUUCUUUUCUUAAUAGUUGGAUGUGUAAAAUUACAGUCAUGGCUUCACAUAUAUGCAUCAGCAGUUAUGCCUAAAAUGUGAACCUAGUUAGAAGCCUACAUCUAAUGAAGUGGUGACUCUUAGUAGAUUCAACUCAACAAUAUUUUGCAUAUUGGGCACAACCUAUCGGAUCUUCAAAUAAGGUCACGAGAUUGCGUGCAAGCCGUUUUAUGUCCGAAAAAAAGAAAACAAAAAUAGCAAGAGACUGUAUAAGGGUGAGGAUGAGAAAAACAGGGCAAAAACAGCAUCUUUUCAAGCAUAGGUUAAAAGCAGCAGUAACCAAGUAGAAGUUUGAUUCUUUUUGCCCCAGUGGAGAGGUCAUUCCAUUAAGUUGCGAAUUACGCACAAGAUGGGAAAAAGAAAUCGCACUUCCAGCACAAAAUAUCAAUGCAAGGGAAAAAAGCGCAGUGCUAUUGGGUAGUUCUCCCCUUCAGAACCAAUUCACGAAACUCAUAAUUGAGUUCCCAAUUCACAACUUUGUUUCCAUUAUUACCUCAAUUGAGAUAUAAUACUAAACCGAAGGAUUGAAGAAUCAAGCAUGGUAAUUACUGUAACCUUCAGGUUGCAAUUGUUAACGAUUGAAGUGAACCGGAACCAUUCCAUCCAAUUCAUCCAGUCCUCCUCCAUUAUAACUUCCGCGAUUGGUUAUAAUGUAUGACAGAGCUAUCAUUAGCUAUAUUCAAUUCCUCAAUAUAAAGGCCAUUAAAAAGCAUGGUCAAAAGAAGAAAACUCAAGAAAUGACAAACUGAGAUUGAAAGCUGUGAAAUUUUUUGAUGUGCACAACAAAGCAACAAAUCCCACAACCACAGAAAUGAAAACCAAGAAACAAAGAGAAUGGAUGAUCAGCAUUCGUGUAAAACGUACAAAGUGAUACAGAGAAAAGCAUCAAGAACUUACCUUGAAUGGCAAUUGGGCUUGGGUAAAGCUAGGAGAGAAGGCCAUCUUUGGUGUGGAAUCGAGAUUGAACAAGAAUUGCAAGAAGAACUUAAAGAGCAAAAAGCGCUUUCCUUUAAGUCAUGAGUCAGCACUCAACCUGGGUAUAUACAGAAAGGGCCGAAAGUAAUGGCCAGUAGGAAAUUCGCUCCCGAAGACACGCAGCUUCUGACUUGGAUUAAAAUAAGAAAGAAAGAUUUGGAAUGAAUUCAUGGUACAACUCUGCACUAUCAUCGUCCCCGUCCCCGUCCCCGUCCCACUAUGCUAGCAGCCGCCCAACACUAAUCCAUUGUCAGACCAAAUUUACCGAACUUCCACUUAACCAAGUAAAGCUCAAGCCUUAAGAUCAAUCGGGACAAGCUCAUUGGAUGGAAGUUUGUGCCUCUCGCCUUUGUAGGAUGCAUGUCCCAAAAUUUGUUGUGGUCCCUCUUCUCAGUCAAAUCUAGGAUGAGCCAUGUGUCUGUACACGUGGCGCGCAUGCAGGGCAGUCGGCUAUUGACACCAAACCAAUUGGUGGAGGGGCGGUCUGGGAUUGGUCUAAUCUCAUCCGUUUGGAGAUCAAUUGGGUAUGCUUUCAGUCAGGGUCCCGUGUCCUUUUCUCUCUUCCUUUGGUGAAGGGAAAAAAUAUACUCCCUCCGUCUCACUUUGAUAGUCCUGUUUUUUUUUUCGUCUGUCCCAAAUUAUAAUAUACUUUUCAAUUGAAAAAUAUAGUUAUAUUUUAAUAUUCCUAAAAUACCUUUAUUCAAUGUAAGUUGUUGUUACUAUAAACCUACUUCAUUUAAUGAGAGUUGAUUCUUUUUUUACUAUCAAUUCAAGUUCUCAUAAAAUUGUACUCUAAUUAAUGAAAAAUAGUUACUUAAAUUGAUUGUUCCAACAAAGUUAACUACUUUUUUUUUAAAUUGUGUAAAAAAAAAAAUCAAAACUAUCAAAGUGGGACGAAGGGAGUAUUUACUGGUACUAGCGUAGCAAAUGCCUUCAAAUUUGAGAAACCCCGAUUCUUGAGACUAAGGCCUUGUGCGGGGUUGUCCUAACUUGCUUUAGAUUUUAUAAAAAUUUGAUUAUAAAAAUUAAUUAUAUCAUAAUUAGUAAAAGUUACUCUUUGAAUAAUUAUUAUAAUUAUUAGUUUUUUUAAAUUAUUAAAAAUAUAUAUAAUUAAAAUACAAAAACAAUUAAGAACACCGUAAAAAUUAAUUAUUCAAGAUCAGAAUUUAUAAUUAGUUAAAAUAAAAUAAUCCAUUGAGAAGAAGCCCUAACCCAAUCUUUGAUGAUCACGUCAUUAAGUAUCGGCUUUUUUUUCUUUUUUUAAAAAAUUGAAACCAUCUGAUGGCAUUUAUAGCUUGUUUGAGAGUUGUAAUUUGACGAGAAAAUAAAGGAACGUGACAAAAAAGAUAUUAGAGAUAUUUUUACUGUAGCACUUUUGGAUUGUAAAUUAUUAGAGAUAUUUUUACUGUAGCACUUUUUGUGAUGUGAUGUAUGUGAGAUAAAAAGGUAAUUGGAAAGGUAAAAAGGUGUAUUGAAAAUUGUAAUAAUGAUGUAAACAAAUAAAUUUGGGGAAAUAAAGCUCAAUCCAAACAAACCCAUUGGAGUUUUUGAGGUGCAAAAAGAAUAGAAAGCGAAUGAUUUAGAAAGGUGAGCUUCUGCUGCUACGUGUUACCAAAGCUUUUCUGCCCAAGUAUGGAUGGAAAGCGUAGGAAAAGCUGAGAAUACCAAAUAAAAUAUUUUUAAAUGUCAAUUUUAUUCUCAAAUGUGUAUUGAACAAAUUUUUAUCAAUAUACAUAUCCAAAAUUAUUAAAUAACAUUAAAAUCUUUUCUCUUCUCCUGUGAUCUUUUCUUUUCUUUCAUAACUUAAUAUUACCCAUCUUUUGUUUUUCUAACAUAAACAUCCAAACUAGCUACUAGCACUUGGUUUGGCUUCCCUGACUUUUUUCAAGGACGGAGUCCUUCCCACCUUUCCACGUAGUGGAAUAGGAGGUAGUGAUCCACUAAAAUAAGAAAUAGAUGGCUUUUUCCAAAAGAAAAAAGAAAAGAAAGAUGGGGAGCGAUGCUGAUUGUUGAACAAGUGUUCUUUACCCACCCCGCUGCCACCACGUUAUACGGUGGUCGUAAUGAUAGUUUGAGGCAUUGUUAGACUCGACUCGUAAUCAUGGUUCAAAGACUCAGCCGAGUCCGACACAAUUCGGCCGAAUUGUCACCGUCUUCGCCCCUUCUGAUACGAUAUUAGAACGAUAUGAUUUUAAUAUACUUGACUCGCCGAGAUGUCACAGUGAAGGGUUGAAACGGUCGAGUCAUACCAAAUCACUGCGAGUCAUUGUGAGUCAACUCGAAUUUUUAUUAUUUUUUUACUCAUUUUUAUUUAUCAUAUUUUUUAUAAUUUUCAGAAUAUUAAAUAUUUCAAAAUUCGCGUCUCGCUGAAAUCACAACCGAUAUGCUGAAAUCGAUUUGGAAUGAUUCUGAUCGAAACUACAACUGCGACCGCGACUUUGAACCAUGCUCGUAACUGAUAAUUGGAAUGGCAAAUUGUUUUUGGAAUUUUAUUCAUAAGCCGCUUAAAAUGCAUCAAGUUAUUUUGGAAGAUGAUGAUCUUCUUCAAAAAAAAAAAAAGUUACAAACAUGACGGUCAAUUGGAAGCGUCAAAAUUGGAAAGGUCGGUGGAGUCAACAUCUCGUCCCACUCCAGGCAGGAUAUCAUUCAGGAUUUCUCAAUUACGACAUCUUAAAUAAUGAAUUAAACUGAUUAUUCAACAUAUUAAACAAUUGGUGUGGCCAUUCCAUUGAAACGAGCCAGUUCGAUUGUACACCAUGACAGUCAUUUCCUCUCCUCCAAUUCCCGUCUUAAAGAAAGAAUGUACGGCCUGCACAGAUUGCAGGCGCUGGCGACGGGCUUUGGCUUCAGGGACUAUGUGCAUCAAGCCAAGAAACGAUGUCACCAAGCACUCUAAGUAUCAUCUCAUCUGGCUCGCCUUCAAGAAGGGCAUGAUAAGCAUCGUCAUAGAGAAUCAGUUCCUUGUCUGCACUGCUUGCCUUCUCAUAUAAUUCCUUGCUAACUGAUGGAUCUGUUACCCCAUCAGCCUUGCCGUGGAGGACCAAUAAUGGCAGAGAAACCUACAAAAGAGCAUUUAUCAUCAGUCGUCUUUCAAAUGUUAUGUUAUUUCCACAGCAUCAAAAAGCAUGUUGGAAGUCAUAAACGGAAAGCAGUCUCUCCAAGAAAUUAAAGCAACUCCAUAUGAUAACUUCAAAACCUCCUUAGAACAAGAAGAAGAAACGUGUUUACAUACAUUCUCCAGUUGUUGUCCUAUUUCCUGGGUGGUGUUCAGUAACUCUACGGCAGUUCGUAGCCUUGGUUUAUGCUUGUAAGCAAUCAUGUUGCACGCAAGCUGCAAACAGUGCCAAAAAGGGGGGGAAAAAAAAGAAAAAGAUGAGCAGGUAAACAAUGGAAAAAAAGUCUUUUUCUGCUCUGUUUUCUACAGGCAGUGUUCUGUCUUUCUGUUGAACACUUCAUAGAAGGGAAAGGAGGCUAACCAAAUUCCUUUUCUUGACGUCUCUGAUUGCUAAGUGAACUAAAUCCUUAUGUGGAACUAGCUGCCGUGUUGGAAGAAGUUUCGCCGCUCCAAUAAGAACUUGGGUGAGUACCCAUGGCGGAAGCAUUUCAUCUGCAAUCUGUAGAAAAAUACUCGGAUCAAGAAAUGAGGUAUAUGAGAAACAAGAAAUGUACAAGUCAGAAGGUAGUUGAGAGUGGUACCUUGCACAUCGGUGCAAGAAGAACAGCUCCAUUCCAUGAAUUAGGCUGUUUGAGGUGAGUCUUCAGAGCUACAGCUCCUCCCAUAGAUUGUCCAAACAGGAAGCUUGGCAGACCACAGAAAUCUGGAUUUUCUGCACCACAAAAUGUAAUUUUAAUAUCCUUCCAAAAACUGUCAUGCAGUUUAACUUUUGAGAAAUUAGCCAAAAUACCUUUAACUUUUGAGAAAUGCUCAACCACAUCAUCAACUAGCCCGUCAAAGCUUGGAAUAUAGCCAUGAAGACCCUCGGAAAGUCCAAAUCCAGGAUAAUCCAUAGCAAAAACUGCAUAGCCGGAGGAGGCUAACUUUCUAGCAACUCCUGCAAAUGACGCCAUACAUCCGUUAAACCAUAAAUAUACACUGAAAUCUGCAAAUCUGCAACUACAAAUCAUUUGGUUAAGCUACAUACCUUCAAAGAAAAAGGUGCAAGUGUCUCCAUAACCAUGACAAUAACAAACCACUGCCUUGGGAGGACUGGUCUGUGGCACCCAACUCUUCGAGAAAUAUUCCAAUCCUUUAGAGUUCACCUGAUAUGACUGCAUCACAGGAUUCAAAUUCUUAGAAAGAUGUAAAAACUUUCAUAAAUGCUGUGAAACUAUAUAAAGACAAAAGAUGCCACUGGUAAACGCUAGUUUUCAAAAUAAACAUGAAAGUUUGCGAAAAUAUGAAUGAUUUCUAGCUUAGGCUAGUCGACAGAGACUAGACAACUAUCAGUCAAUUGUAGCAGUUAUAAUAGUGUACAAAUAGAAAUUUAUGGCACUCUAAAGCUAUGUCUAUUAACUGACUUAUCAUCAUGACAAUCUUCUCAAAAUGGAAAAUCAUUUUUCUUUAUCACUUUUUCAAGGACGACAAGCAAAUAGACUACUAUUAUAGUAGAUGACCCGGAUACGAUGGGACACAUUCCAGUUAUUUUUUUUUUUUUGGUAGGAAAGACUUGCAUAAAAUAAAAAGGAAAGGUUACAACUCAGCAAAGAUAGGAUUAGAAAGAUAUACUAAGAAGUUGUACCUCCUUCAUCGUCAAGCCAUCACUUGGGAUCUGUUAAAACACAAACACACAGCAAGUCAGCAUCACCUAGCAAAUUGUCAAUCCAAGAAAAAGGAACUCAAACUUCAACACAAUAUGAUUCCUACGACGAAACUAGAUUUUUUACUAAACCAUAUAUUUCGACCGAGCCAAAUCCAAUAAAAGAAGAAAAAAUUUGCUGCUCCAACAGUUAAAACCAUGCAUAUCCACAAAUCUUAACCAAGGAUGGAAGAGGCAAAACCCUUCCAAUAACAGAAACCAUAUCCCAUUUUAUGGGUGCCAGAUGCAAUCUUGUAAAAGUGCAUCUGCCCUUCUAAUUCGUUUAACAGCAAGUGGAGUGUACUUGGAGUAGCUUGAACACAUAUAAGCAAUUCUACGCAUUUGCUAAAAAAUAACCAAUAAGCCAUGUAUAUCAUCAAUAAGCUUUCUUCACAAUGGCGUAAGUUUUAUCAAAUUACCAAUCCCUUGAGCACCUGUUGCAAUGUGCAAUAAUUACCUUGAACAAAAUAUGAUCAAUUGAAAGUUGAAUAUCCUUGAAGGCCUCGCGAGCAAGCCUUCGGGCCCCAACCUCUUGCAUAUUUGUAUCCAUUAUCUUCUGCAACUCUUGACUUAUCCAUGGGAACUUCUCAAACCUCAACAUUGUAGCCCUUUUCUUACCCCUCAAGGACGAAGUUUUAACCUUUGCCUCUAAAUUAUACAAUAUCAAAUAUUUGUCAGAACCCAGAAAAUCUAUCAACAAAAAGAGAAAAAGAAAGAAAAAUCAAAAGCAGCUAGAUGACUUCUGGGAAGCUAUUCAAAAUGUCAAUGGUACCUAUGGGAUUGUUAUGAAGCUGUUCGUGCUGGUUUUUAGCAGACGAUAAGCAUGGUACCAACAACAGAAGCAUUGGGCCUUUUAAAGCCGCGCGAUUCUGGGAUGGUCAAGAAUCUGUUUGUCAGUAUUAGACUUUUUAGUAGCGUUCAAUAAAAGUGUUUUAAAAAUAUGGGAGGUUGAAUUCAAGGAGAUGCGGGGUCUUGAGGAAAAGUAAUAGUCGGAAUGCGUACUUGGCUAAACAGAGAAAAAGGAAGACGUAGAGGCAGUUGCUGAUUCCGCGUGUCGGAGAUGUUCCUCUUUUGUCUUUUUCCCCCCCUUUUAUUCUAAUUUUUUUUCUUUCAUUUGUUCUUCGCGUUGCUUAAAUAAAUCUAGGAAUAAUUUUGGAAACUCCCCUGAGGUUUCGACAAUUUCACUGAGCUCCCCUGAAGUUUAAAAAAUUGCACAUACCUCCUUUAAUUUGAUAGUUUUAGUAACAAAAUCUUAAAAUAAUAUUGACUUGAUCAAAUUUUUAAAUGAAUACCCAAAAAUGCACUUGUGUAAUGAGUUUUAAUUUACUUUUUUAUAAAAUUAUAAGAUUAUUUAAUGUAAUUACAAGGAAAAUGUGCCGAAUUUUUCAUGUGCAUACCUACUAUUUGAUAAACAACUAUAAUAAUAAUUUUAUCACUAUGAUAGGAUACUUUUGAUGGUAUUUUAUUAUGGAUUUAGAUUUAUAAGAUAGAAAAUAAAAUGUUGAAAUAAUUGAUUCAGAGUUUAUGAAUUUUUUUACUAGUGGGGUUAUCAUAAUUUAGUAGUGAUUUUGGGCAAUUUCCUUUUGAUUUAUUGUUAAUUUUAAUACCAAAAAAUAGAAAACAAAGAUUAGCGAAAAAUAUCGGAUUACGUAUAAAAUUAAUUCAUAAAAAAAAUUAGUUCGACAUUUGAUUACAAUAGAAACUAGAGAUAAUAGUAGUAAUUUUACAAAUUUAUUGGGAAAAAAUUAAAAUAAAAAGGAAAAAGAAUGAAAAAAUAACUUUAAAGUCAUUCUAAGUAUAAGCAUCCAAACAAGGGAAUUACAUUAAAAUAUUUAAGGAUAAUAUUAUCAUUUUAAAUGACAAGGGAGGUGUGUGUAAUUUUUCAAACCUUAGACAAGCUCAGUAAAAUUGUCAUAAAUCUCAGGGGAGGUUUCUGAAAUUAUCCCAUAAAUCUAAUUUGCGGACUUCUCUUCGUCAUCGUUCCUAUUGUAUGAAUUGAGGCAAUCAAAAUGUCAGUGUAUAUCACAUUGACCCGGAAAGUUUCACGGUUGCAUCUUAUAGACUUUUUUUAAAAAAAAUAUUAUUUUAGGUGUUAAUUUCAAAAUUGAAAUCUUAAAAUAUCAAACUUUCUUCCGUAGCUGAAGACUCUAGGAAUGUUUUUUUCUUUUUUUUUUAAAAAAAUGUAAAGCUGGUAAAAUUUAAAGAGCCACAUUAUAAUGAAGAUACUUAUCGGUCCGUGCAAACUUCAUAGUCAAAUAGAACUUGUUGUUCCACAUUAAAUGUUUUUAUGGUCUUACCUUCUUGUCACGGCGUUUGUGAUGUGUUACUUGCAUAUUAAUUGUUUUCUUUGAGGGAAACGUGCAUCGUUCAAUGACAAUUAAAUAGUCUGGGUAUACUUAAAACAUUAAUUAUUAUUAACAAACAUUUUCUGCUUUAAUUAAUAGUACAAGUUUUGAAGUAGUAGUAAUUAAAACUAAGGAGCUUUGCGUUCACACUGCACAUGCAGGGAUGGACGUACAUUUUACCAUUAUCUAUCAUGGGAAUCUGGUAAGGCGGCCAGUCCAUUUUGGGUUCUGAAAUGUAAAAAAUAUAUAUAUAUAUGUAUUUUAGGCAUCGGGGAAGGUGCCCGAAGACUGACGGAACAGAUAAACAAGGGAUUGAUCGAUUUUUAUGGAGCAGUUUUUUGGAUUGGAACAGGUACUUUCGUGGACUUGGAAAAUUCUAACGGGUGCGCUUUUGAAGACUUGGAAUCCGUCCCCACACCAAAACAUCGCCGGGUACGGAUUAGAGCCAAGACAAGAUGCCUUUGAAUGAUGGCGAUGAUUUGUAUUUUUUUUUUUUUUUUUUAUGAUGAUAAAACAACGACCCUUAUACUUUGAAGUGGAAUUCCAGACAGGUGCUGUUGGUGACUUCAUUCAUAUAAUACUACUAAUAGUCUCGCUUUGGAAAAUUCGAACCAGUUACUUUUCAAGACACCAUUCAUGUAACGACAAAUCUAAUACGCCUUAGAAAUCCGGCAAAUGAUUAUGCGUGAAGACAAGCGCUGCACCACGAUGACCGGAAGUGAACGACCCUUAAAUAUAUAAUUUGAAAAACGUGAUGUGGACAUACACUGAAUGGAAAAAACAUGAUGGAGUGCAGAUGCCGGAGCCUAUAACCGCUUCUGUGCCGUAAUCAUUUACCAUAUCCUUCUCUGCGUUGUUUAGUAUUCUAUUCCCCGAAUGACCUGAAACUUUGAAAACUUUUUCCCUUCUCUUUUUUUUUUUUUAUGUUUAAUAUUUUUAAUGAUGCAUAAUCAAGCAAAAGAUAACAACGUUGAAUUAGUGGACGAGAUAAGAUCAAAAUGAAGACAAAAAAUUCAACAGUUGAAGUGAGAAAUUCAAAAUUAAAGUUACAUGCAAUUGUGGAUCAAUCGUUGCAUGUAAGUGUGCCUGUGCAGCAAACAUCCCAAUGCUGCCAUGUAGUACAUUAUUGAAAGUUGUACCGGAAGUGACUGGUAAAUUUUCACGACAAAGAAAUUAUUGAAUUGGUAAAAAUAGUAAGUAUUCAGAUAUGAUUAUGAAAAUCUUAAAAUAUAUUUUUUUUUAAAAAAAAUAUCUUCUUGAACGAGUAUAUUUCAAAAAUUGGUGAGAAGUUUGCAGACGCGUGGUUUACAAUGUCGAGUUAUUUUUUUUUGUUGAGUAAGCUGGAUAAUUACCUUUAAGUCCCGUGUAAACUACUUGACACGAAGAAUAAAAUGUUUAAAUUGAAAUUUAUGUAAAUCCUAAUUAACAAUGAGGUGGGGAGUACGCAUCCUGCAUAGAGACAAGAGGAAAGUCUAGGACAACAUGCUUGCGCCGUAAUCAUUUACUAAACCUUCAAUAAUAUAUUAUUAUUGUUUAGUAUUCCCCGAAUCUUUGAAAAAAAUUUCUCUUUUUUUUUUAUGUUUAAUAUUUUUAAUGAUGCAUGCAUAAUCAAGCAAAAGAUAACAACGUUGAAUUAGCAGAUGAGAUAAGAUCAAACUGAAGACAAAAAAUUCAACAGUUAAGUGAAAAAUUUGCAAGUGAGAAAUCGAAAAUUGAAGUUAUAAUUUGACGACGAUUAGCUGCAACAAUUAGUAAAUGAUUGAAAUUGAGUUAGUGAAUGUGAUAUCAAGCAUUAAUUUGUACGUAAAGUUUGCAGCAAACAUCCAAACGCCGCCAUGUACAUUAUUGUAAUUUGUGCCGGAUAAAUUGAAUUGGUAAAAAUAGACGUGAUUAUGAAAACCGUAAAAGAUAUUAAAAAAAAAAAACCUUGUGGAACGAGUAUGUUUCGAAAAUUGCAGAUGCAUAGCUUGAAACGGUUUACAGUAAUGUCGUGUUAUAUUUUGUUUAGUGAGUAGGAUACCUAGCUUUAAGUCCUCCCGAGCAAUGUACGAUAAUCACUUUGAACGACUCGACACGAUGAAUAAACUAUUUAAAUUGAUUAUUUCAUGUAAAUCCUAACAUUUAAGGAGUCAAAAAAGGAGGGUUAGAGUGCAAAUGCAUGGAGACAAGAAAGUUCAGGACAACGUGCACGUGCCUUAAUAAUUUACUACUAAACCUUCGAUAUAUUUAUUAUUGUUUAGUAUUUGCCCAAUAUAAUAUGAUGACCUUGACACUUUGAAAAUUUGUUCUUUAUUUUAUAUUUAAUCUUUUUAAUGAUGCGUGAUCAAGCAAAAGAUCACGUUGAAUUAGUAGAUGAUGAUAUGCUUGAACCGAAGACAAAAAUUCAGUGGUUAAGUUAGAAAUUCAAAAUUGACGUUAUAAUUUGACUAUUAAUUAAUUAACUACAACAACGUACGUAAAUGAUUGAAAUUGAAUUAGAAUGCAAGUGUCCUAAUUAAUGCCAUGUACCACAUUUGUAAGUUGCACUGGAAGUUCACGAUGUAUUAUAAUGCAGAUUAAGAACAUUUGUGGUUUCGAUAACACUGACAAAGAAAUUGAAUUGGUACAGAUAGUAUUCAGACAUGACGGCUAUGAAAAACUUAAAACAUAUAAAUAAAAAAAUAAAAAAAUAAAAAAAUCUUGAAGAAUAACUAGCUUGAAGCCUUGUGCAAUGUACGAGAAUCACUUUAAUACGAAGAAUAGAUUGUUUAAAUUGAUUAUAUAGAAAUUUAGGUAAUACUUUGCACAACUUUUUAAGCUAAUUGUUCAAUUCAUUUGAAAAGUCACCUAAAAUUUUGUUGAUAAGUUAGUUUAGUUAAGCUUUGAUUUCAAAUCUUCCAUCUUGGUCUUGGUCAAAAUCGUACUUUUUUAAAAAAAAAAUAAUAAAUUUGGUUUGUUAAGUAUAUUAUGCUUAUAUAUAUAUAUAUUAAUUGUUUGUUUUGAAUUUCUUUAUGCCUUGAGAUUUAUAUGCCUUUUGUUGUGACUUAUAACUAGUUAUAUGUAUAUGUCGGUAUGGACUGUUGACCAUCUCAUUAAUAAUGAAUAUCAUAUUAAUAUUAUUCUGACAAUUUGUACAUAUUUGGUCAUAACACAUAAUACUUAAUUACUCAUCACAUAAUACAUUUGAAUGCUUAAAACUACAUAAUAUUUUCAGAGAUCACAACAACAUGUCAGUGGGAAGCUUCAGGCCUGAAAUAUUAAUGCAUGUAUGAAACACUCACGCCACCAAUUACAACGAAGACAAAAUAGACUAAAUGCACAAGAGAGUGAAGCGACGACCGAUGGGAGAAGGGACAGUUGUAUUUGGUGGUCUACUGUUGCCUUCUUGGACCAGGAACUUGGACCAAUUAGUUUUUAUGGGUUGUCACUUACUUGUAGCCUGCAAAUUGAAUCCCCGUGCAAGCAACAACUGGACAAUUUCGUAAAGGACAACGAGGACAGAAAAUAUAUGACAUUUUCUUGAGUCGUACAAUUUCUGAAUGGGAAAGUAGAAACAUCAGUCGCAACAACUGCCUUUUCUUUUUCCUUUUUUCUUUUUUUCUAUGCUUUUCAAUACGCAUUGCAUGUGCUCUUAGUACACCAUAUUAAUAUCUAUCGACUAUAGGAACUCUCGCAUCAUCUGUUCUCACUCUUAGAGUAGUUGGUCAUUAAGAGAGAUUUAAAACUCUACUUGAAUGCAGGUCAAGAGAUUUUGAUCCCUCAACCUAUAUUCUAAUAUCCAGGCUUUUUUAAAAAUAUUUUAACCGUCUGAAUGAAUCGAUGAUGGUUCACCGAAUUUUUCUUGAUCUGUUUAAGUACGCUAGGAGUAGUUGUAGUUGUGGAGACCAAAAAAAAAAAAAGGCUAUAGGAACUCUCACGAAGGAAUCUUUACAUCAACCAAUUCAUUAUCUUGACAACCUAGACUAAUAUAGUGAUCCAAAACCAAAAUGUAAACCAUCAUGCCUUCUAAGUUUUGUUGAAAUAUUACAGCGCCACGCUUACAAUUUCAAGGGGGAUUAAGAAAUGAAACAAAUUGAUGCUCCUUCGAGCUGCUGAUAAACCUAUCAUGAUUGCUGUAACACAAUACUAUGGACGUCAGCCAGGAUUCUUUUACAAAAGAUUUUGGAGAUAGAACGCGUGUAUUAUUUCAUUAUUUGUCUACAAGGGUAGAAGACUAGAUCAUGCAAAAGGGCAUGAAUGAAGUAGCAAAAAGGCAUUAACAUGAUGAGACAAAACAAAACAAAAACAGACAUGUUGCUGCCCAGGAUCGAACUGGAGACCUUCAGUGUGUAAGACUGACGUGAUAACCACUACACCACAGCAACUUGGGUGUCAUUGGUAGGUUUCUAGGAUAGAUAUUUUAGCUGAACAUUUCGGUUCCACCACAGUCAUUACUACAGUUGCUCUUCACGCAAGUCGUGUCAUGGUUCUAAGAUUUGUUGCAUUAGUGAAGAUAUGAUCAGGUUGGAUUGACUUGAUUUUCUUUCAAUGAAAGGGUAGAAGUUUGUUUGGGAUUAUACGACUACUGUCAUAGUGUCAUUUUGUAGCUCGUAGUAGUUCGGGAAUGGAAUUCAAUUUCGUGGGAAGGCCGAAGGCCUCGUUUCAAGCCAAUUCCAAAAUCUGCGAAUGUGAUAAAUUGGAAUAUCAAGAAAUUAAUGAGCGUUUUUAACACGUUCACGCUUCCAAAAAAGUUGGAGCAGUUCGUUUAUCUAAAUUAACCAGUUCGUCCAAUAGGCAAAUUCAACGUGUCUGGCAACAGUUUUAAACAACUUACCUAAAACUUACGACAAUUUAUCAAAAAUCUAUAUCUAUAUCUAUAUACUAGUGUGAAUACCCGUGCUACACACGGUGCUGACAUAAUUGAAAAAAAUAAAAAUAAAAUGGUGAACAAAUAAAGGUAAAAAAAUUGUACCAACAAAAUUAAAAUGUAAUAUAUGUUUAACAAUAGUUUGAAAAAUAAUAGAAUGUGUAUAUCAUUCAAGAAUUGUCUUUUUUUGGAAGAUGGAUCCUGAAAAAAAAAAUAAAAAUUUAUAUUAAAAAAGGGAAUGAUAUAUUUCUAUAAAUGAAUGUAAUUGAAUGUUGUUAAAAUGAAAUACUUACAAAUACUAAGCAUUCGAUUUGAUAAUCUUGUUUGAAAGUGCGAACACUCUUCACACCAAUUCACUUUUAGUACGAAUGCCAAAAUUGGUGAUUUAAUUAACUUUGUUAAAUUUUGUGGAGUGCGUACUACAAAUGAAAAUGCACGAUCUUUGCAUUUUUUGUAAUAAUGACUUGUACUUCGAUUGCAUUUGAAAAUUUUUAGUCCAAUGAAACUACUGAAAAUUUCCCCGUUACUGAACCUCCCCAUCCCACGCGUCCGAUUAUGAGCACCGAGGCGAGGAGACUGUAGAGUAGCUCACUUUUUCCCAACUUCCAGCAAGUAGCCCACCAGUGCCAGCCACACAUACUUGCAAUCACAACCCCCCCCCCCCCAAAACCCUGCAAAACCAAGCACCACUUAUUGAAAACAAACCAAUAAAUGCACUAAAAUGCCUCCCAUCUAUACUUCAAAUUGCACUUUAACCCACGAAUUUUUAUUUUAGGUAUUUUGACCGCAUAUUGUUAUUUUUUUGUGCGAAAUUAUCCCUCUAAUUGCUUUUGUCUUUUUCGAUUUUUUCACAUGUCGCUAACUGCUUCAUUCCCUCUGCGAUCACUUGUAUAUUUAAAAUCAAUUUUUAAUAUUAAAUAAAAAGGAAUCCAUUAGUUUAUAAUAUGUUCAUAAUGUAGAUAAAUUAUUAAAUUUGGAAAAGGGUGUAUGUUCUUAUAGGCUUCUUUUCUUUUCUUUUUUGGGGGAAAAUGAAUUUGUUCUUGUAGGUUUUUUUUUUUGGAUAUAGAAUUGUUUUUCAAAGAUUUUGGUUCUUAGUCCCUACUAUGUUUAAACCAUCUUUUAAUAUCCAACUCAAUAUAGUCUUUUAAUUUGGCAGCCUCUAUAAUUUUUAAUUUAUUCUUUUGGGUUAAGUUCAGUUAGAAUUCAGAAUUUUUCAAAUACCAAGAGAAACCAUAUUUUUUUUUAGUCACCGUCUUCAAUUCCCCAUUUAAUGACCCUUGUGGAUUUACCGAUUAUGAAUAGGAUAGAUGAUGUGUUAUUAGAAUUUAAAAGCUACCGCCAUAGUGUUCCUAUUCCAUUUUUCUUUAUUUCUUUUGGGUCAAGGUAAUCUCUAAUCCUUCCAAGUGAAGUUUAAAUAUGAUUGAAAAAAUAGGGCCUUCAAGUACAUUGCCAAGUAGCUUUAAUGAGCGAGGCUAUUGCAAGCCUAAAAAUUGAUAUUCCAGAAGAUCACGUUGGUUAAUUAUUAGAGGUUUAACAGGCCCUACUCUGAUGGUUCGAGUUUGUGUCUUAUCAUGAACAAUAAGUGCAACUAAACUUUACAAUUUUGUUCUUCACACACAUCGUUUCCACUUUCCAUUUUCGCUGAAUUGCUACUGUUUGAGUAGCAACAGCAUGGUCGAUGCAUAAAUCAUGCAUUUAAUGGGUCAUUUGGAGCAUGUGCUUGUGAUUUUGUGUUUAUACGUUAUCCCACUGUUGAGUAUCUUUGCUUUACGGUGUAACAAUAAGCAAACGACCGUUCAUAGGAUUUUGUAAAAAAAUUUCAGAAAUAAUGGAUGAUCAGAAAAUCAAUGCAAUAUCAUUCAUGACAAAAAGCAAAUCAAAAGCAAAACAUGCUUAAAAGGCAGAGGGGGCUGACCUGGAAAAUUAAGCCGACAAGAAUAUACUUCCAGUUCUUCGCAAGAAGAUUGAUUUCCGCUGAAGUCUAUGCACAUAAUCUCUUCCAUAACUGCUCACAAAAGAAACAAAAUCAAUACAUUUACAAAAUCAAUAGAGAACCAAAAACAAAUAAGAAACUGAGAGAGAGGGUAUGGGAAUUGGGGCUGGAAUUCUUUGGAGGAGUUUUAAUUGGGAUGGAAUUCUUAAAUUGGAGAACUCUUAAUUGGAGUGGACUCUUAAUUGAAGUAGGAAACGUGGGAUGAUGAUUAGAGGAUUUGUAGGAGUGGUUGUAGGAUGAGUUAAGAGAUAGUGGGAAUAUUUUAAAUUUAAAUUUGAUUGGUGAUAAGGUGAGUUAUAACCCACUACUUUUUAUGUAUUAAAAUAAAUACAAAAAUUUAGAAAAAAAAUGAGAAGUUUAGAAGCCAUUGAGAGGGUUUCUGCUAAAAAUCCUUUUCUUGAAUACAUAUAGAUAUAGAUAUUGCAGAGAGGGUUUUAACAUAGACCCUCCUAAUGACUUCCAAACUUUCCAUUUUUUUUCUAGAUCUUGUAUUUAUUUUAAUACAUAAAAUCUAAUUAAAAACUUUAAAAUAGUGGGUUAUAACUAAUCAUAUCUCUAGUCAAAUUUAAAAUUUAAAACUUUUCCAAUAUCUCAUUCAUAAAUCAUUUAUAGUUUAUUAUUUAUACUUUAAGUCCUUUUUACUCCUUAAUUAAAUAAAAUACAUUUGUCAACCCAAAUUUCUCAGGGGUAAUUGAUUAGUCUCAUUUUAAAAUUAUUCACCCUAUUAUAUUUUUAUCACUUUAGUCCCUUUUAUUCAUUCAUUAAAGAGGAUUAAUUUAUCUAGCCAAAUCCUCGAGAUAAUGUGAUUAGUCCUAUUUUUUAGUUAUUCACCCAAUUAUUUUUUUAUCACCUUCCUUCUAGGUAUAUUAAUCAUUUGUCGAAAUCUUCUAAUGAUAUACUCUAUUACUAUUAAUUUUUAAUAAUUUAUGAUACAAUUACUAAAUCAAUUUUCUUGCAGUCUUAAACUUAUUCUUUUUCUUUUGUAUUCAGCAAACUUAGGGCACUUUAAUAGGUUUGCUUUUUAUAAUUUUUAUGUUAGAUUUUAUUCAUUAGGUUUUUUUAAAGUUUUAAAAUUUGAAUGUUGAAAUUAUACUCUAACAUUAAAUUGGAGUAUGUAAAUAACAAUUAUGACAUUUUAUUUGCACUUAGAAUAAACUCAAUAUUAAUAUCGUGCAAGCAUCUAGAUGACUUUUUAUUUAGCACAUGUACACCAAAAAGUGCAUGUAAAGAAAAAUUUAUGUAUGAAUUUUAAAUGAGCAAAUUAUCCCAGUGGCCACUAAACUUUUGCCAUCGUCGAGUUUUGGUCACUCAACUAUUAAAAGUCUGGUUUUGACCACCAAACUGUAUAAAAGGUAGACGCGAGGCCAUUCUGUUAGAUUUAGUCGUUAACUUCACCGAUGUGUCCGUCCGCGCGAUUUUUAAUACAAAAGAUAGGGUCAAUUUAGGAAGUCGAAAAUAUCACUUGCACCUCUUCUUCCUCUCCCAUGCAUCUGUUCUUCUUCUUCCUUGCCUAAACCCAAACAUCAAACAAUUGACAAUCAAAGAAAAACGCAACAACGAAGAAUUUUGGGGGAUUGAGAGACAGCAGAACAGGUUGACAAACAAGAUCUUCAUUUCCUGGAACGAUGGAGUGGCCCAAGUGGGUGAUUAGACCAUGGGGCCAGCAUUUUGAUCCAUCUGAUGCAUACGGUAAAGUUUUAAAAUCCCUAAAUUUGUUUAGUUAUCCACAUCCCAGAAUAGAUUGUGUGUUUCAUGUAUGUAUGGGCUACAUUUUAUCGUUGUUUUGGCUUUUUGCAAUAAAGUAUAGAGAUUUCAUAGUACACUGAUUAAAGUAUUCUUAAUGCUGGAAAAAGGGGUUAAUAAAUAAUUCAUUCAUUGAAUUUGGGUUUACCAGUUUUGACUAAAAUUUUAAUUUUUUUAACUAAUCGCAUGUCAUGCAGUGCCAGGUUCAUCUCUCUUCGCCAUACGGAUGUAUCAUGGGGGUAAAUUCAAUUGGCAAAAUUACAGAUACAUUGAUGGGCAUGUAGAUUAUGUUGAUUUAUGUGAUGCGGAAACAAUGUCUGUGCAUGAAAUAAACUAUAUGGUGGAUAAAUUAGGGCAUUAUGGAUGUAUGGUGUAUUACUAUGUUGAGCCUGGAAAAGAUUUUCGAAGUGGGUUGAAGGAAUUAUCUACUGAUAAAGUCAUUAUCAGUUUUUGCAAUUGGGCUUAUAAGCAUAAAAUCAUGGAGGUGUACUGUGACCACAAGUCAAAGAAUGAAAUCAAGAUGAUGGCCACAAAGUCCCUUCCUUCUGAUCUAGAGCUGAGUAAAAAAGCCGCAGUCACCAUCGAGGAACUUGAUGAAAAUGGAAAUGUUAUUAGGGAACCUGGAUUUGAACUAGUGCCAUUUACAAGAUCAAUUGGCAAGAUAGAUGUUGGGAACUCUUCUAAAGAGAAUGCCUUGAAUAAUGCGGAUGCAAAUGAUAGAGGAAAUAUAGAUAGCCAAGUGGAGACUGAUACUGAUUCGGAUAGAGACUGUGAUCGCUUUAGUGCUGAUAGGAAUUUCUGUAGGGAUGAAGAAAUGUUAGAAGCAUUGAUUGUUGAGGGGCUAAAAUCUGGUGUGGAUUCUUCAAAUAUAGAGCAACCUAAAUCUUCACAACAUCCCAAUUCUAAUGUUGAUUAUAAUAAUGCUGCACAACAGCAAGAAUCAGUUGCAGAUGAGCUAGGGAGACAACAACAAACAGCUGCGAUGGAUCCAUGGUCACAACAAUCAGGACUUGAAACUGAAUUUGAACCUCAGCAGCAGCCUGAGACAAAUGAAGAACAACCUACGGAUGUGGGAACUGAAAACCAGCAGUCGCGGAGGAAGAAGCAAGUUAGAAGGAGAAGAAACAACAAUAAAGCAUCAGGAGAAGAGGCAGCUCCUCAUUUAGAUGAUGUCCAUGCAUUAGAUAGAGACACAGUGGUGACUGAGUUGCAUAGUGAUGCUGGCUCCUCAGAUGAAGUGAAUGAUGAUGACUGGAGGAAUAGGUAUGUUGACUUCAAUCCGGAGAGAGAUCUAAAAUACCCUAAUUUUGAGUUUCACAUAGGAAUGAAAUUUGAGUCAGUUGAAUAGCUAAGAUUAGCUGUUAGAACAUAUUCCAUCAUGAAAGGAAAACCAGUAAAGCCAUACACAAAUGAAAAAAAAAGGUUUAGAGCAAAAUGCAAACCUCCUUGCCAAUGGUUUGUUUAUGCUUUAGUUGAGAGGGAACUUGGGACAGCUGAUUUGGUUGUCAAGAGCAUAAAUAAUGAGCACACAAACUGCAGUCAUGUAUGGAAGAACAAGAAUAUUUCUGCUAAGUGGCUUGCAAACAAAUAUAUGGAGAGGUUUAGAUGUAAUGGUGAAAUGCCUCCAAGAUUAUUAAGACAAAUAGUUGAUGAGGACUUCAAAACUGAAAUUUCAAAAUGGGUGGCAUACAAUGCAAGGGCAAUUGCUAAAAAGGAGAUUCAAGGGAAUGCAGAGUAGCAAUAUAAGGACAUAUGGAGAUAUUGUGCAGAAAUUAAGAGGACACACCCAAAUACCACAAUGGAAGUUAUGUUUACUCCCUUCAGACAACCUGGAUGCAACCAAAAAUUCAUGAGACUUUAUUGCUAUUUGGGACCAUUAAAACAAGGCUUUCUUGACGGUUGUAGGCCCAUUAUUGGGGUUGAUGGAUGUCACAUAAAGGCUGAAUAUCGGGGACAGCUAUUGACUGCUAUUGGAGUAGAUCUCAACAAUGGAUGGUAGCCCAUUGCUUGGGCAGUGGUUGAGAGGGAAGCAACUGAACAGUGGAAAUGGUUUUUUGAGCUGCUGAAGAAUGACUUGCAGAUUGAAAAUGGGUACAGCUACACCUUUGUUUCUGACCAGCAGAAGGUAUUAACUCCUUCCAUUUGUAUAUGCACUGUACACAGAUCUGUUUCAAUUUAGUAAUGCCUUUUGUUUGUAAUAAUGUAUAGGGUCUUGACCGAGCAUUAUCUGAGGUACUACCAAACAGUGAGCACAGAUACUGUGUGCAGCACCUGUAUACCAACUUCAAGAAGAAACAUCGUGGACUUGUCCUGAAGAUAAAACUGUGGAACAUUACAGCAAGUACUACUGAGGGACUAUUCAAGAAAGCAGCAGCAAAUCUAAAAAAAUUUGACAAGGGAGCAUAUGAAUGGUUGAAGAAAGCACCACAUCCCAGUCAUUGGUGUAAGACUUUUUUCUCAGAACAUACUCGAUGCGAUAUGUUGGUUAAUAAUUUGUGUGAAAGUUUUAAUGAUCAUAUCCUUGAAGCUAGGCAGCAGUCAAUUAUCACAAUGUUAGAGUCCAUUAGGGUAUUUCUGAUGGAGAGAAUACAGAGAAGAACAACUGCAAUGGAGAAGUUUGAAUUGUCCAUUGGCCCACUAAUUAAAAAAAUAAUUGAUGAUAGAGUGAUAGAAUCAAGGCAGUGGAGGACCAUUUGGAAUGCUGUGGUUGGAUACCAGGUUAGGGGACCAAGAGGGGCCCAGUUUGUUGUUUAUUUAAAGAAAAAAUCGUUCACAUGCAAACUGUGGGAUCUAUCAGGUAUUCCUUGCUGUCAUGCUAUUGCAGCAAUUCACAGAAAUAAUGGCGACCCCUAUAAAGAGGUGUAUGAUUGCUACAACAGAGAUCUGUUUCUAAAAAUUUAUCAAAAUAUUUUGUAUCCUAUCAAUGGACAAGUAAUGUGGCCUGAAGCUGAUGGGGUGGAUCUUGAUCCACCAGAAAGGAUAGUGCAACCUGGCAGACCUAAGAAGGCCAGGAGAAGAGAUCCUACUGAAAUUCAAAAGACUGGAAACAGGUUGCGGAGAACUAUAGUCAUCCAUUACAGAAAAUUUGGUGUUGCCGGCCAUAAUGCAGCUAGUUGCAAGGUAUAGCAACAAGACAAUCAACAACAGCAGAAUCAGGAUAGCGAGGAGUAGGAGCAGAACCAACAGCAGCAGCGUGUUUCUAAGAAUAUGCAGCAGCAACAGCAGAACCAACACCAGCACCAGAGUCAGCAUGAACAGACCCAACACCAGAGUUAGCAUGAACAGACCCAACAGCAGGACCAGAGGCAGCAUCAUUAGACCCAACAGCAGCACCAGAGGCAAUAUCAGACCCAACACCAGCAUCAGAUUCAGCAUCAUCAGGCCCAACAGCAGCACCAGAGGCAGCAUCAGACCCAACAGCAGCACCAACAACACCAGCAGCAGGAUCAAUAUCAGCAGCAGCAAAAUCAGCAACACCAGCAACAGGAUCAACAUCAGCAGCAACAGCAGGAUCUGCAACAGCAGCAGAAUCAACAGCAGCAGGAUCAAAAGUAUCAGCAGAACCAAUAAUAACAGCAAUUACAAUCUGCUGUUGAGGAAAGUGAACGUGCACAACAUCGACAGCAGGAAGAAGUUGUACAAAAUCAACAACAGUCUCAGAGCCAAGGGGCUCAUCAACAAAAGAAGGCAGGAAAAUGAAAGUUAACAGAUUCAGAAAAGGGGCGGAUCAACGCCAAUUAUGCAUAUUUAGGUAAAGAACCUCAUUUCACUGUUGGAAAUUGGAGAGGAAGAUGGAGUAGAGCUGGUACUAGAAGAGGAGGAACUUCAGCAACAACUACCAGAGGACAACCAAGAGUCAAAAGAUGAUCAACAUCUGGAAAUUGAAGAGGAAAUAAAGCUAUAGCUAGAUUGUGACAUAAUUCAACUACAUUUUACCUUUUUGUAUGAAGUUUGUUUUGGAUUUGAUAUGCUGACCUAUUACGAACUUGGUCCACAUGUACAAACAAUUUAUUUUGUCCAAUCUACGCAGAUUGUUCUAUGUUAAUGCAGCACUUCUGUUUAGUUCUUAUAUCUCUGUAAUUGAUUGAUGAAAUUAGUAGAACUGAAAUGUAUUGUUUCAAACCUUUUUUGACACCAAAUAAUAACUAUUUAUUCAUGUGAACAAUUUAACUUUUAUACAUCAAAAUGUUUAUACAGAGGGGUACAAAAGGGGCUUUAUAAAGCCAUUUGCCCAUUCCCUUUCAAUAUGCUACCAUUACAACCAACUGAGUAGCUAUUCUUCAGUGAUUUUCAACGAUGCCACAAAUUUGUAGCAUGCCACCAGAAUUAUCUAUUCUCCUAACAAACAUUGCUAAAACAACUAUUAGCCUAGGCAACACUGCACAUCGAAUGAGUCGCUUAUUGGCUGAUUUGUACUUGGCAAUUUCAAUUUUAAGUGGCUUCAUUUUACCCUCCAAUUUCACAGCUUUUGCUUCCCACUUUCUUGCAGCUUUUUCAAAUUCUACCAUUUUUUCCUCCAUUCCAUUGAUCUUUCUGAGUAGACAUCAUUGUAGAUCGAGCGCAUAUUUCAUCAUCUAUACAACCUCAAUAGCCACAGCCAUCCUUCAAAAAAAAAAAAAACUCAUUAUAUUUCUUACACAAUAAUAAAUUAAGUAUUUAAAAAAAUGUUACAAACCUCCCCCAAUGCGCAUUUGGCAAAUCUUCUUCCCGGAUUUUGUGCAGUCCAUGAAGUUAUCAUUACUGUCUUCAUCCCACAAACACAAGUAGGCAAAAUGGGUGCCAUCGAUGUAGGUGGCAUGGAUCUUGCUGGCCCGGCUCUUGGUGGCGUUGAUCUUGGUCCUACUUCCUCUAAUCCAAGUUGGGCUUCUUCCAUUUCCUUCUCUUGUAGUUUUUCUCGGGUAAGUAAUCUUUAUUAGCUUUAUACAAGAAGAACAAGAAGAUCUAUUUUCAACUUCCUAAAUUAACCCUACCUUUUGUAUUGAAAAUCGCGCAAACGGACAGAUCAGCGAAGUUAACGACUAAAUCUAACAGAAUGGCCUCGCGUCUACCUUUUAUACAGUUUGGUGGUCAAAAUCAGACUUUUAAUAGUUGAGUGACCAAAAUUCGACGAUGACAAAAGUUUAGUGGCCACUGGGAUAAUUUGCUCAUUUUAAAUUAAUAAAUGUGUAUCUAGAAGGUUGCUUUCGGUGGUAUUUUAGCAAAAUUUUGAUAAAAAGGUUGUAUUUCACCAAAUUUACAUCCGAAAGUUUACUUUUCUCGGUGAUUGCAAUUCUAGCUUUUUAUUUGAUUGAAAACACUUAAAAAUGAGGCAGCAACUUGGAAAAUAAUUAUAACUUUUUAUAUGUCCAAAAACACUGAAAAGUGAGAUGAUAAAUCCUAAAUAGUGAAAGGAUUAGAAAGAUAGGACUGUAAGGUUAAGAAAAAUAAAGAUUAGGGGAGAGUUAUCAAAUUAGAUGAUUCAUGUGAGUUUGGGUAAGUUAUAAUUAGAUUAACCUAUAUAUUCCUACUUAAUUAUGGUUCAAAAUAGACGAGUCGUCAAUGAAUAUAGUUUUAUAUGGGUUUGGAUUAUCCAAUCACCCAUUCAUGAUCCACUACUAAAUUUUAUUUAUUUUUUCAUCCACAUUUUAUUUAGCAACAACAUGGUAAAUCACAUCAACAUAUCAAGUUAAUAAAUCAAUUUUUACCUAAAGAAAGAGAAAAAACAUAAAAAAUUGCUUAGAGGAGCCUCAAAUGGUCAUCAUAGUGAGUUUCAAAUUUUAUCACUUUACGACAAUCUAAAAAUAAUUUAGGUAUUAAUGCAAACAAUCAAUUAACAUUCACGAAAUUUAUUAAAAUUUUAUGAAAGGAAUGGAAGAAGUAGGAUAAAUUUUAAAAGAUAAAAUAAUAGAAAUUAAAGAAGAGGAAAAACGAUGAAUACAUCUUGGCAAAAUUUAGAAUAUAAUUAUUAGAGUAAUUUAGAUUUAUCCACUAAUGAUUGAGUUUGAAUCUACGUCUAAUUUAAUUAAGUCAAAAUAAGUGAUCCAAAUCUAUGAAUUUCACACCCACUAAUUAAUGGGUUAAUUUGGUCACCCGUUUGAAUCCAAUUAAAUUACAUAUGCAAACUCAUUUGUUAAUAGGCGAGCCAAGUAAAUAAGUUACCAUUUACAUUUAUAAAUAGAUGAAAAUAAUAGUAUAACAGGAGACAAGUGGGUUGUAAAAUUGGGUAAGAGAGAAGAUAAUUGGAUGAAAGCGAGAUAGGGCAAAGAGAAAAUAGAAUUUGGUGAAACGAGAAAGGGUUGUAGAGAUACAAGAAAAUUGGGUAGGAAACGAAGGAAUGAGAAAAUGUUGUAGGGAAGCGAGAAAGUUAGAUUCAGAAAGUGAAAAGUAGGGAGAAUAUCAAGGGAGAAGAGGUUGAGAGGUGAAAAAAUGGCACAAAAAAGGAAAAUACAAGAGAAAUGGAUAAUAAUAUUGUGUUUAACCAUAUUUGUUGGUGAUGUUAAGAUGGUUUUAAUACUGCACCUCAUUCCAAUGGAAAAUCUGGUCUUUUUAAUUAGGACAAUUUAAUUACUCAUCCACUUGUAAGAUUUUUUUUUUUUUUGUUUUUUUGUUUUUUGGGUUGGGGAGGGGGAAGAGCUAUAGCUAGUGCUAACUCACUGUCCAAAGACCUAACUUGCAAAUUCAUUUAUCCAAACUAUCAGAAGUUGCCUAUGGGUUUGUUCGGCUUUAACGAUUGGAAGAUAAAAUUUAAACCCAACAAAAUAACAAAUUGAUGGAAUAAAAUCGAGCGCAACAGGGUUCACUGAAAUUUGCAUAUUUAUGGGUUUCUCUAUUUUCCCUGGGCUUAAAAUGACGAAUAUGGCUGACCAAUAACAGAAAGAUAUCCGUGCAUUUCUUCUGGCAUUAAUAUUUUCCUUAACGGUCAAAUUGAGCUGCUUAGUUUACACUCGUCAAAUAUUUUUAAAAAAAGGCGUAAUUUUUUUUUGUUGCAUAGCGUCGUUGAGUUAAGGGCAUCAAGGCGUGAUACCAUAGAUUGGAAUUUUUUUUUUUCAGAAUAUGCGAUCUCAGGAAACAGAAAAACAAAAUGUAUCCGAUUUUUUUCAGAAUGUAUGCGAUCUCAGGACCGAUUAGUGACUACUAUAAAAGUCUAGAUUAGUGAUAAAUAAAUAGACGAAAAUUUGAUGAUAAUUAAACAGGACAGGACAUUAUUUCCUUGCACUCUCUAUUUUCUUUUCUAGCCAAUGCGAAAGGAAAAAAAAAGAAUGCAUAGCGUAGCAGACGAAUAUAAAGCGGCUUUCAUUAUUAAAAGUCUCAUACAUAUCUUUGGAAAUCCGGAAACAUAUACCGAAACCGAAUGUCAAAGCGGAAAAAAAGAAAGGAGAAGAAUAGAAGCAAAACCAGACCACCACGGAAAAGGCAAAUAAAAAUGAAAAACAGCUAAAAGUACAGCCCCAGUUCUCAAUUUUAUUGACAACUAACUGUCAACUGCCAAGAAUCGCAGCCUCAAAUUUGAGGGGCCGGGGCCAAAUUUGUGAAGAAGGGGCUUAGAAACCCUU
rnacentral:lncRNA from 1 species